rnacentral:rRNA from 1 species
UACAGAGGUCCCAAGCGUUGUUCGGAUUCAUUGGGCGUAAAGAGCGUGUAGGCGGCUUUACAGGUCCGUUGUGAAAACUCGAGGCUCAACCUCGAGACGCCGGUGGAAACCGUAAAGCUAGAGUCCGGAAGAGGAGAGUGGAAUUCCUGGUGUAGCGGUGAAAUGCGCAGAUAUCAGGAGGAACACCCGUGGCGAAAGCGGCUCUCUGGGACGGUACUGACGCUGAGACGCGAAAGCGUGGGGAGCAACAGG